GCCGCUCGCGCCUGUUGGGACGGGCACCGGUCUCUUACGCCGGGGUGAAGGGGUUCGAAUCCUCUGGGCGGCA
rnacentral:tRNA from 1 species